GUGAAUCAUCGAAUUUUUGAACGCAAAUUGCGCCUUUUUCGGAAGGCAUGUCUGUUUGAGUGCACCGUUUAACAAAUAACGUGCAGCGUUUUUUGUUGCACACUUUGAUGAGCUUUCUAAGAAUUUUAAAUUUUUGGUUUCUCAUAAUGAACAGCGUGAAAGUUUUUUUCAGUUCUAGUGUAGUAAAAUCUUUGCUUUUGUUAUGAAAAAACAUAAUCGCGCAAUGUGUGAUGCAAUUUCUUUUUAUCCCUGCCCCAAUGCCACUCUUUCUCACUGAAUAUU
rnacentral:misc_RNA from 1 species